rnacentral:rRNA from 1 species
UGAGCAAGGAAAGCGAGGGGAUCGCAAGACCUUGCGCUGAUUGAGCGGCCGAUAUCAGAUUAGCUAGUUGGUGAGGUAAAGGCUCACCAAGGCGACGAUCUGUAGCGGGUCUGAGAGGAUGAUCCGCCACACUGGAACUGAGACACGGUCCAGACUCCUACGGGAGGCAGCAGUGGGGAAUUUUUGGACAAUGGGCGCAAGCCUGAUCCAGCCAUGCCGCGUGAGUGAAGAAGGCCUUCGGGUUGUAAAGCUCUUUCGGCCGGGAAGAAAUCGCACAGGUUAAUACCCUGUGUGGAUGACGGUACCGGAAUAAGAAGCACCGGCUAACUACGUG